rnacentral:rRNA from 1 species
UACGUAGGGUGCAGGCGUUAAUCGGAAUUACUGGGCGUAAAGCGUGCGCAGGCGGUUUCUUAAGUCAGGCGUGAAAUCCCCAGGCUCAACUUGGGAACUGCGUCUGAUACUGGUUGGCUUGAAUUCGGGAGAGGGAUGCAGAAUUCCAGGUGUAGCGGUGAAAUGCGUAGAUAUCUGGAGGAAUACCGGUGGCGAAGGCGGCAUCCUGGACCGAGAUUGACACUGAGGAGCGAAAGCCAGGGGAGCAAACGGG